rnacentral:rRNA from 1 species
UACGUAGGGUGCGAGCGUUGUCCGGAAUUAUUGGGCGUAAAGGGCUCGUAGGCGGUCUGUUGCGUCGGAAGUGAAAACUCAGGGCUUAACCCUGAGCCUGCUUCCGAUACGGGCAGACUAGAGGUAUGCAGGGGAGAACGGAAUUCCUGGUGUAGCGGUGAAAUGCGUAGAUAUCGUAAGGAAGACCAGUGGCGAAGGCGGGUCUCUGGACAGUUCCUGACACUGAGGCACGAAGGCCAGGGGAGCAAACGGG